rnacentral:lncRNA from 1 species
CUUUGGUGGACUGUUGGGAAGGCAUGAUUGGUUUUGAAAUAUGAAAGCAGCAUCAUUUCAAGAACUUGGACUGAUAUAAAUAAUAAACAUGAAGUCCAGGUGUAGGGCUGGCUGUAAACAUGUUGCAAUAAGAUUUUCAGGAACCUAAGUUCUUCCCAUAAUUGUGAUAUGGUUGUCACAAUUCCGGGCAUCACAGCCUGCAAAGAAUCUCCAGAGCAGAAAGGGGAUCAUGUUUUCUUUUGUCUUUUUUCUUUAAAGAAAGAAAUGAUUUCCUAGAAGUUUGCUGCAGACUUCCUCUGUGUCUCAUUGAAUUAUGCUGUUCGAAAGGAUUCUUGCUGUGUUCUUUGACUGCAGCCCUCAGAUAUGAGUGAGGAGAGAGUGACAUGCACAGAGACAAAAUUCCCCUUUUCAAAAUGAAAGAACGGAAGACGUUCAGCUCACAAAAGUAAAGAAACCCUGGAAUCUGGAUAACCUGUUGUGUAAUUUACGCUAGAAUAACCUUUUAUAAAGUGUUUUAAGCACUAUUUAUCUGACAAUUAUAAGACAAGACUCAGAAAAAAAUGGAUCAAUGAAACAGAAAAUGUCCCAAAUGAGAUGGUCAAAAUAAUCUAUGACUUGGAAAAUAAAAGCAGGAACUAAGACUGUGGCCCUUAUUCGAAAGAGAUGACAUGUGUAUAGAUCUGUGGUUUCUGUCACAAGAAAAUCACUUCUUAGGAGAAUUUUCUAUACAUAACCAGUUUUAGAAAUGCAAAAGAAUUUCAGAAGUAACAAAAGAGAAGAAAAUUUUACGGAAAUCUGGAUUUCCAUCUCAUUAAAAUAGACUGAGGAGGGAUUUGGAAUGUAGACACUUUAUCUUAUUUCCUUAUCUUAUUCUAUUCAUGUUAAUAUCUGUAACUAAAAUAAUCUUUCUUUGACUAGCUGGUUUAUGCUAUUUUUAGAACAUAAUGCUAUAUAUUCUGUUGGAGUGGUUAUUUAGUAGAAUAUUUUGAUAUAAAACCAUAAUCCAAACAUGUGACAACUAAAAUUGUUUGAAAGGACUUCUUAAAAGUAUAAAUGGAAUAGCUUACAACUGAUGCAUGCUUUUGUAAAAAAAAAAAAAAAAAAAGUUGUUAAAUCAAUUAAAUACCAAAGAAAAACUGAUAUUGGAAACAUUAGUUAAACCAUAAUGGAAAAAUUUCCAAGUUUUUAGAUUUUUGUCUGAGUUUACUCCUUAAUACCUACAGAGUUUGGGGUUAGGUUUAUUAGUUUGAGGUGUCAGUUUGGUUUCAUUUUGGUUUGAAAGAAGAAACAGAAAUUAAGAGAGGGAUUUUGAAAAAGAAAGAAGUCAUGGAAAGUGUGAGGCACAAACUAUGCUAACAAAAUUCAGUCAACCCUUUUGCUAAGAACAUAACUAUAUCUCUCAUCAGUCAGAAUGGCAGUUAUUAAAAUGUCAAAAAAUAAAAGAUGCUCUUGAGGUUUCAGAGAAAAGUGAACACUUAUACACUAUUGGUAGAAAUGAAAAUUAAUUCAGGCACUGUGGAAAGCAGUUUAGAGAUUUUUCAAAGAACCUGAAGCAGAUCUAUCAUUUGACCAGCAAUCCCAUUACAGGGUAUAUAACCAAAGGAAAAUCAGUUGUUCCACCAAAAAGACGUAUGUAUGUUUAUGUCCCUCAUGGUGCUAUUCAUAACAACAAAGACAGAAUCAAUGUAGGUGCCCAUUAAUGGUGGAUUGAAUAAAGAAAAUGUGGUAUGCGUACACCAUGGAAUACUAUGCAUACAUAAAGAUAAAUAAAAUCAUGUUUUUUGUGGCGGUAUGUAUGCAGCUGGAUGCCAAAAUCUUAAGUGAAUUAAUGCAGAAACAGAAUCUCAAACACUGCAUAUUCUCACUUAUAAGUGGGAGUUAGACAUUUGGUACACAAAUAUAUAAACCUGGAAAAACAGACAUUAGCGACUGUUAGGGGAUGGGAGAGAGGCUGGCGUGGUACCCAAAACUACCUGUUGGGUACUAUGGUUACUACUUGGGUGAUGGGAUCAUCUUUAUCCCAAACCUUAGUAUUACACAUAUACCCAUGUCACACACUGUCAUGUGCCCUCUGAAUCCAAAAUAAAAGUUGAAAAAAACGAAUUAACAAAAUCAAACAUAUUAGAUUUUAAUUUUUAUAUAUUACAUGCCUUUCACAAAGACUUCUAUUUUUCUUCAUGCUGCUUAAAAGUUAUGGCUGUAAGAAAAGUUAAAAAAAAGAAAUACCUAUAUUGUAUCUUAAAUAUCAUUUUGUGCUUUUCUACCUGUGGUGCAGAAUGAAUAGAUGCUCUGGGAAAUGACAUCAAUUCUAUAUCAUUUAUUUAUUCACUGAACUCACAUUUAUUGGGUUAACAUAUGUGGCCAGUUGCUGUGAUAGCCCCAGGGUUAUAAAGGUUAAGUAAGCAUGGUCCAUUAAGGUACUUACAAUACAUAGGGGAGCAAGUCACAGAAGUCAGAGUUCCAGCACAAAGCUAGGUGUAAGCCUGGACUGUGAUAGGAGUAUGUAAGAUGGACCUUAUCCAAAAUGUUAGGCUGCCCAGUGUUUGCACAUUUGAAAGUCGUUUUCUGGGAUAUUUAAUAUUGAGUCAAAUAAAAAAAUGAAAAGAAUAUUUUGUACAAGACAGCACAUUCAAAGAUAUACUAUUUUCUGGUCAACAUUUUUUUUAUGCUCCAGAAAGCUACAACAACAGAUAUUUCUUGGCUCCCAGGGGCUAUGAUGAAUUUCAAAAGGAGGUGGUGUAACUUCUAUGCUCAGAAAGCACUUACAAGUUAACUAUGAGCAAUAAAGUUGAAGGUAUAUAAAAACUUAGAAUAACAAUAGUAAGUAGAAAAAUGACUGUGUAUGAGUGGUUGAGUGUGUGCAAUGGAUGUUUCUGCUCACCCCUGUAGAGAUACAGCAAACCCCAGUGCUGCCAAGGCUGUGGUGGAACCUCUGUGGCUUCUAGGGGAGGUGUGUAGUUCAGCCCAUGACGUCGAUAUGGUUCAGGGUGCUAUUUACUGGCUAUUUGGCUGGAACAAUCUCCUGAAUUUUAUGUGAACUGCUUAGUGGAAAGUUUUAAAAUCAAGCAAUAUCUGUAAAUAUAUUUCUUGGCAAGAGAAAUAGUAUGAAAAGGAUAAAGUGGGAAACUUUUCUGGGCAGUGAGGUGAAUAAAACACUGGUAGAGAAAAUGAGACUGAUCUAAAGAUAUUGACAAAUAUAUUAGAAAAGAGGAAAAGAGAAGAUUAAGUUCUCAUACUUGCCAGCAAACAAAAUUUGAUCAUUCAUACAUUAUGUGAAGAGAAGUCUGAAAGUUUAGGAAUUGUGUUGAUACAGCUUGCACUAAAAUUCAAUCAGCUUUUUAUUAGAAAUGAUAUUAACACACGUAAGUUCAUAGCUUACUACUGAUUACAGUAAGUUCAUAGCUUACUAUUGAUUACAUUUACAAGAACAAUAAUACAAACAGAAUUCGUUGAUGUAAAAUAAAUUUGCUAGCAAAAAAUUUAAAUCUAUAAUUGUGAGUCAAUGACUGGAAAUGACUUUACAAAUCUAUUACAAAUAUUAAAUAUUUUGUUACACUGAAGAAAUAUGUUUCCUAAAAAAGCAUUUCAUUAAACAUAUGAGGUCUGAUUAUGCACACAUUGUGGAAUUUCAUGUGUACAAAAUUGUAUGUUUCCACACUGGUUUAGGAAAUAAUAUUAAAAAAUUUUUUAAUUGAAAGAAUAAUUUGUUUUUCCUUUUUUUCUCCUUGAAAGUUAUCUGUUUAAAAAGUAAUUUAUCUUAAUAUUUCAGUUAUAGAACCAAAGAAUUAUGCUUUACAGACUUGAAAUUUCCUCUGCACAGUGGUGCGAUUUCUGGGGAAUUGAUGUAUAAAAAAUACUAUUUACUAGACAUUGUAUGAAAUAGCAUGUUUAAUGUUUAGUUGUAUGUCUUUGCUUUCCAUUUUCGAUAAGUAGAUUUGUCGAAAUUCCUCUAGCCCGAAAGAAGUGAGUGUCUUUGGUGUGUCAGUCACAAAAUCAACUAUCCACUCAUUGAGAAAGAAAAGGAGAAAUACUAGGUUAAAUUUCGAAAAGCCAUGGCUGGUAAGGUGUUUUUAAAUAUGUGGCUUAAAAUUCUAGAAAAUCCUGAGCCAGGAUUGCAGAAAUUGGCAUUUUGAUUCUGAGGUGUGUACAAACUUGAGAAGUUUGAAGAAAACCUUUGGAAUUUUAAAGGAAUAGUAAUAACUUUAAAUCUUUGAUUGUGUCAGUGACACAGUCAAUUUUGCAAAGAUGUAAAAACAUAAUAAAAGAACGGGUAUGUCUUUAUAAAUUCAUAAUAAAAUUGCAAAGCAUCCUAUUCUCCCCUAGAAAAAAGGGUAAAUUUUUGCUUAGCUUUGAAUUAUAUUGUCAGAACCCAGUAAAGCGAAAAAUUUCAUUCAGAAAACACCAUUCAAUUUGAGCUCUGUUGAUAAUUCAAUUAGAUUUAGUCUCAUUGUUAGGAUAUUUACUUACUCGAUGGUGCUUAUUUGAAUGGGGAAAAUUUUAUUUAUGGAAAUACAUUUUAUUAUAGGACUUAGAAUGUAUAGACAUAAUACAAAUUAUAUUAAUCUGCAUGCUGAUAUUCCAAAGAGCUUUUGGGGAAUUUUCUGUUUGCUAUUUUCCUUCAGGAAAUAUUUCAGGAAUCUUAGCCAGGUUUAAAUUGCUAUAUCUGUGAAAAUAAUGUGAACGUUGAUAUACAUAUUUAAUUUAAUUUAUAAUGAUGUAUUUAAUAAAGAUUCUAACU